rnacentral:tRNA from 2 species
GGGCGAUUAGCUCAGCGGUAGAGCACUCCCUUCACACGGGAGGGGUCACUGGUUCGAUCCCAGUAUCGCCCACCA